UGCAGUCGAACGAUGAAGCUUCUAGCUUGCUAGAAGUGGAUUAGUGGCGCACGGGUGAGUAAGGUAUAGUUAAUCUGCCCUACACAAGAGGACAACAGUUGGAAACGACUGCUAAUACUCUAUACUCCUGCUUAACACAAGUUGAGUAGGGAAAGUUUUUCGGUGUAGGAUGAGACUAUAUAGUAUCAGCUAGUUGGUAAGGUAAUGGCUUACCAAGGCUAUGACGCUUAACUGGUCUGAGAGGAUGAUCAGUCACACUGGAACUGAGACACGGUCCAGACUCCUACGGGAGGCAGCAGUAGGGAAUAUUGCGCAAUGGGGGAAACCCUGACGCAGCAACGCCGCGUGGAGGAUGACACUUUUCGGAGCGUAAACUCCUUUUCUUAGGGAAGAAUUCUGACGGUACCUAAGGAAUAAGCACCGGCUAACUCCGUGCCAGCAGCCGCGGUAAUACGGAGGGUGCAAGCGUUACUCGGAAUCACUGGGCGUAAAGGGGCGCGUAAGCGGAUUAUCAAGUCUCUUGUGAAAUCUAAUGGCUUAACCCAUUAAACUGCUUUGGGAAACUGAUAGUCUAGAGUGAGGGAGAGGCAGAUGGAAUUGGGUGGGUGUAAGGGGUAAAA
rnacentral:rRNA from 1 species